CUUUCUUUACCUUCACUUUGGCUGGCUUAGCCUUCUCCUUCACAGGUUCUGCUUUAGCCUUCUCCUUCACAGGUUCUGGCUUAGCUUUCUCCUUUACAGCUUCUGGCUUAGCCUUCUCCUUUACAGCUUCUGGCUUACCCUUCUUUACAGCUUCUGGCUUAGUCUUCUUUACAGGGGUGGGUUCUGCUUUAGCCUUCUCCUUUGCAGGUUCUGCUUUAGCCUUCUCCUUCACAGGUUCUGCUUUAGCCUUCUCCUUCACAGGUUCUGCUUUAGCCUUCUCCUUCACAGCUUCUGGCUUAGUCUUCUUUACAGGGGUGGGUUCUGCUUUAGCCUUCUCCUUUGCAGGGUCUGGUUUAGCUUCAUCCUUUACAGGUGCAGGUUCUGGCUUAGCCUUCCUUACAGGGGUGGGUUCUGCUUUAGCCUUCUCCUUUGCAGGUUCUGCUUUAGCCUUCUCCUUCACAGCUUCUGGCUUAGUCUUCUUUACAGGGGUGGGUUCUGCUUUAGCCUUCUCCUUUGCAGGUUCUGGUUUAGCUUCAUCCUUUACAGGUGCAGGUUCUGGCUUAGCCUUCCUUACAGGGGUGGGUUCUGCUUUAGCCUUCUCCUUUGCAGGUUCUGCUUUAGCCUUCUCCUUCACAGCUUCUGGCUUAGUCUUCUUUACAGGGGUGGGUUCUGCUUUAGCCUUCUCCUUUGCAGGUUCUGGUUUAGCUUCAUCCUUUACAGGUGCAGGUUCUGGCUUAGCCUUCCUUACAGGGGUGGGUUCUGCUUUAGCCUUCUCCUUUGCAGGUUCUGCUUUAGCCUUCUCCUUCACAGGGGUGGGUUCUAGCUUAGCAUUCUCCUUCACAGGUACAGGCUUAGCCUUUUCUUUCAAAGGUGCAGCCUUGUCUUCCUCCUUCACAGGUACAGGCUUAGCCUUUUCUUUCAAAGGUGCAGCCUUGUCUUCCUCCUUCACAGGUACAGGCUUAGCUUUUUCUUUCAAAGGUGCAGCCUUGUCUUCCUCCUUCACAGGAACAGGCUUAGCUUUUUCUUUAGUUGGUUCUGGUCUAGCUUUCGCUUUAGGGAGCUCUGGCUUAACUUUCUCCUUAGCAGGCUCUGGCUUGGCUUUUUCCUUUACAGGCUCAGGCUUUGCUUUCUCCUUCAUGGUUUCUGGUUUAGCUUUUUCCUUAACAGCUUCUGGCUUUACCUUCUCUUUAGCAGGUUCUUUUUUAGCUUUGUCCUUCACAGGUUCUGCCUCAGCUUUCUCCUUCAUGGGUACUGGCUUAGCUUUUUCUUUUGCAGGUGCAGGUUCUGGUUUAGUCUUCUCUACUGCUGGUUCUGGCUCAGUUUUCUCCUUCAGAGCUUCUUUCUUAGCCUUUUCUUUCAGGGUCUUCAUUUUCUCCUUCACUGGUUCUGGCUUAACCUCCUCCCUUGUGGGCACUGGCUUUGCAGUUUCUUUUACAGUUAUUUUCUUAGCGGUUUCCUUUCCAGGUUCAAGCUUAAGUUCUUCCUUUUUGGGCUUAGGCUCAGCUUUCUCCUUCACAGGUUCUGGUGUAGCCUUCUCUUUUACAAGUUCUUCCUUAGCUCUCUCCUUUUUGGGCUCUGGCUUUGCCUUCUCUGCAAUGGGCUUUGGUUUGGCCUUGUCCUUAGGAGAUUCUGGCCUAGGUUUCUCCUCCUUGAAUUCUACCAUAGCUUCUUCCUUAUCGGUAGUAGGUUCUGGUUUAGCCUUCUCCUUUACGGAUUCUAGCUUGGCUUUCUGCUUUUCUGGUUCUGGCUUAGUCUUCUCCGUAAUGGGUUCUUGCUUAGGUUUCUCUUUUUCAGAUUUUGGCUUAGCUUUUUCCUUUACCGAUGCAGGCUCUGGCUUAGCUUUUACCUUUACCGAUGCAGGCUCUGGCUUAGCUUGCACCUUUACCGAUGCAGGCUCUGGCUUAGGUUCUUCUUUUACAGAUGCAGGCUCUGGCUUAGCUUUUUCCUUUACCGAUGCAGGCUCUGGCUUAGCUUGCACCUUUACCGAUGCAGGCUCUGGCUUAGCUUUUUCCUUUACCGAUGCAGGCUCUGGCUUAGCUUUUUCCUUUACCGAUGCAGGCUCUGGCUUAGCUUGCACCUUUACCGAUGCAGGCUCUGGCUUAGCUUUUUCCUUUACCGAUGCAGGCUUAGGUUCUUCUUUUACAGGUUCUGGUUUAUCUUUUUCCUUCACAGGUACAGGUGGAGGUGCAGGUUCUGAAUU
ensembl:lncRNA